GGGUGCUUGAGACUUUCUGUCUUGAGCAUGAUGUUCUAAGCAAAAAUUAUGUUUCAGGCAGAAAGAGAAAAGCCCCAUCCGACUAUUAAUCGAAAUGAGGCUACUCGUAUGCCCAACAACAUAAGGCUAGCCUCUUACCUGAAAAAAAGCAAGGAGAGAAGGCGAUGAAG
rnacentral:antisense_RNA from 1 species